rnacentral:rRNA from 1 species
CCUANGGGAGGCUGCAGUCGAGGAUCUUGGACAAUGCGCGAAAGCGUGAUCCAGCGACGCUGCGUGGAGGAUGAAGGCCUUCGGGUUGUAAACUCCUGUCAUUUGGGAAAAACGACUUCGGGAUUAAUACUUCCGGAGAGUGAUUGUACUGAAAGAGGAAGCCACGGCUAACUCUGUGCCAGCAGCCGCGGUAAUACAGAGGUGGCGAGCGUUGUUCGGAUUUACUGGGCGUAAAGGGUGCGUAGGUGGUCGCCUAUGUCGGGUGUGAAAUCCCACGGCUUAACCGUGGAAUGGCAUUCGAGACUGGGCGACUUGAUUGCAGGAGGGGAGAGCGGAAUUCUUGGUGUAGCGGUGAAAUGCGUUGAUAUCAAGAAGAACACCGGUGGCGAAGGCGGCUCUCUGGAAUGCAACUGACACUGAGGCACGAAAGCUGGGGGAGCAAACAGGAUUAGAUACCCCUNUAGUC